UGGAAACUACGAGUCCCGCCAUGCCUUGCGCGCCACACGCCUGCGGCAGCCGGGCGCGCGGGCCCGCGCGGAGUCGGGAGUGGUAGUCUUUUUGCCCGCGGUCCGCGGCGCCGGCCGGGACCCGCCCUCCUCACCGCCCCGCGGGCGGGGGGAGGGAGCGCCGCUGUGGCGGGAGAGUCGUCGCCACGUUAGCAGGUGGCCCCGCUUGCUGGCGGCCGCGUGACCGUCUUUGCCCCCAUGGGAGCCGCCUCAGCUUGUGGUGGUUUUCGUGCCCAAACACGUUUCAAGCGAUUAGAUGCCUAGUAUGUCCCUAAUCGUAAACAAUAAGAGGAUCAUAACGUGGGGUAAAGGGAAGAUCCUAGCAGGCCGCUUUUUUUAAUCAGGAAAGUUUAUCCUUUUCUGUUACUCUUUCCCGUAUGUCUUUUGAGAUAUGCUGCCUUGUAGAAAUAUAAUUUCCUUUUUUCUGUAAUUUUGGUGUCUUUACUGACAGCAGCCUCUGAACAUCACGUAUUUGUUUGCAAAGGUGCUGGGCUAAGUUGUGGCGGAGCAGUUAAAAGGGGUCUUUGGUUGUUUGUCUUAAUUAUUUUAAACAGACUUUUUCAAACAGAAACCACCCCUUUGGCAAAUGUGCCUGUGUCGGGGCCUUGCCCCUGUCCUACACUUCCUUUCUUUGGCACCUACAUUCAUGACUACUAAACGUCUUGGUAGUCGGAAGACAGGAGUUCUAAACAAUGGUUUCCUGCUCCAGAAGCUUUGUGACGUUAGGAAAAUCGAGUGAUCUCUCUGGGCUUCAGUUAUCAGAUGUGUAGAGUAAGGGGGACUGGAUUAGAGGAUUGACUGAUGGGUUACACAGACAUCUGUUAGCUUUUCUCUAAGGGCCCUGCCAGUUGUAAAAUUCAAAAAUCUAUCUCCUCCUACUUACUAUGCAGUUUAAUGGACUUCCUAAGUCAGAUUUUAACCUUUCCUUCCGUCCUUACCAGCAGGAUGGUUUCUGUAUGGCUAUCUAAAAUCUGGACCAACCCUACCUGUCCUUCCUGAUUUCCCUCUGUAGCUGUGAGGAUCCUUUCUUCACUCUGAUGGGAGCAAAGGGCAAAUUGAGGGCAAAGCGGGCCCUGACACUGCACAACCCACCCCCUUGAGGGGGGAUUCAUCAGCCUGUUUUCUCAUCUGGGGAGAAAGGAUGAUGUUGCUCACUUCCUUUGCGGGGCUGUUGCAGAGAUUAAGGAGAAGUAUGUGCCUGGCUCAGAACUUCAUUCCCUCUUUACCUGUAAUGGUCAACAGAGAUUAUGGGUUAUAACCAGCAGGGCCCAGCCUGGAUUUCUCCAAUUGACAAUCAGCUUGACUUCAAACCUGCAUAUUCUCAGCCUCCUGGAGAAGAGGAGAUCUGGAACUCCCAACUUUAGGUCAUCCUUCAAGUCCCCCCAGACCAUCAGGCCCACAGGCCAGGUCAGCCCAAGUCAUAUCCUACCCUAGACCAGCCUCAACGCACACACAAGGGAGGGCAGGUAUCUACAGCAUGUGGUUGAAGGCGGCAUUCUGAGAAUUUCCUCAAAUGUGUGAAACACUUUGGGAAGUGGCGUGUUGAAACACAAAAGCACUGAAUUCACAGGAAGCAGAUGUACAUGUGAAUCCUGAUGACUGGGCUACCUUUGGUAUCAGUGCAAAAAGACCUCAGACUGUCCAAGCCUCAGUUUCUCCAUCUGUUGUGAGGACUAUGUGUAAAAAUAUGUAGUAAACUUCAAACUUCUA